rnacentral:lncRNA from 1 species
UCUGUCACUCAGGCUGGAGUGAAGUGGUGCAAUCACAGUUCACUGAAACCUUGAACUCCUGGGUACAAGGAAUCCUCCUGUCUGGAACUACAGGAAGAAGAUGAUUUUUCACCUAGUGGAGUCAUUGAACAGUGGUCUUCAAAUUGGGAUUAUUUCCAAGAAUAGAUUAAAAUGCCAUGAAAAAGAAAAAAUUAUAGAAAAGCAAAAAGAGCUGAAUGCAGUGAAUGAACAUCUGUGAAUGAAGUUGAGAAGGUAUAUGUGGUGUUUUUACUUACAGGGGCAGACUAGAAUUGCAGUGCACAGAUACAAGAAUGUUGCCUGCUUUGGAGCCAAGACUGCCUUCCGGAUAAAGGGCCCACAGAGAGCUGAGAGCUGUGUAAUACCUCAAAGACUGAAGAAAAGAGUUAGACAGCCAUCUUUCCUUAGAGGAUUUUGCUGCAGACAGCUUGAACUACCAGAAGGUUAUAUACUGACCAUGGGUAGAGUAAGGAAGAAAUACAUCCUUCGGAAAGGACAAUGAAGAUCUUUACAGCAGGGUGAGUAAACAGGCCAGUGUAAGUCGCUAAGCAAGAAUGCCACUUGCUAGGUGGUAUACAGUUGCUCAGUGUAUCACACACACACACACACACACAAACAAAUAUUAGUUACACCUCUGAGAUGGGAUUCAUAAACAUUUAAAAGUUUACACAAUGUUUAGAUAACACUGACCAUCAAACCCUUAAUAAUUUGUUUUGCUUUGCAGUCCCACAGGUCUAUGCCCAUCUAUUCAUUUUAGCAUCUGUUUUAUGUUUCAUAAUUACCUUUUAAAAUUUCUGUCUCCCCUUUGUGCUAUGAGGUCGUUUCAGCACUUAGGUGAGAAUCUGAAAUUGUAAAGAUAGUUCAAUUACAUUUUCGUUGUUAAUAUAGGCGGGGUAAAGUAAAAGUGCUGUAUUAGCUCAGAGGAGCAAAAAACAGUAUAAUCAAAUAGAUCUGUAGAUACCAGAAUUUUAAAAUUCUUCCUUCAGGAACUUUAAUGCCAUUUAAAAAUAUUUAUUGUGGAAUAUGUUAGACUUUGAGUCAUAGUGAUUUUUACCUCCUAACAUAAAGCUAAUUUUUACUGGAUUUCUUCUGAUAAUGAUGGUUAAGUGUGCAAGAGAUGGUAUCAGUCUAUUCAGCGUAUUAUUGAGAAUCCCCUCACUCUCCUUAAAUGAAUGGCUUAAGCAGCAGAUGUUCUAUACCCUAAAAGAUGCCAUGGCACGUCUCAGGUAAGAGCUGUCCUUGGAGUUGAAUGUUAUUUAUUACUAUGUAGGUACUAGAGAUUCAGAAACUUAAUGAUUUUUUUUCCUAACAGAAACUCUUUUUUCGCACUAUGAAUAAUUUACUGUUCUUUCUUCUUUGAACUCAACUGUAGAAUUGCGCAUAGA